AAAAUGACCUGGAUAAUGCAGCACAACAUCAUGGAUCAGCUGCAAAAGGUCACAUCUCUCCAAAAACACUUCAUGUAUGCUUCAAAACUAAACUGAAGAGCACUACCUACAGGAGAGUCUACUGUAGAGCUGCCUCCAUCAUAGAUUGCACCCACCCCCAACAUGGACUAUUCACAUUCCUACCUUCUGGCCUGACGGUCAACGACCACAUUUACAAUUGAAGAAGGGAUGCUAAUUUGAGCCAUCAGAGUCGUCAGGGUGGACUCCGGCCUUUUGGCCCUGGUGAGCCGAUAUGGGAAGGACUCGAAAACUGAGCUAUCCUAGUGUUUUUAUUCUGCUUUAAUUUCCCUCAAUCCCUGCUUGUU